rnacentral:lncRNA from 1 species
ACGCGUGAUGUGUUCACAGCAACAUGAGUCUCUGGUACAACAGGACUGUUGACAGUGACACGUUCUAGUGACAUGUUUCUCAUAUCAACCUCCACGCACGUGAAAAAAUAAUGAAAUCUGAUAGAAUUGCAACUGAAGUCGUCUGAUGCCCUUGCACCUCCCCUGUUCCCAUCUCUUCUCGGACCGUCGCCUGUUUUGACCUUCUCUCUCUUCUCUACGGGAUCCAUCCGCCAUUGCCACCGCCGCUAGUCUCCUCUGCCGUCGCCACCGCUGCUGCUACCACUG